rnacentral:rRNA from 1 species
AACAGGAUUAGAUACCCUGGUAGUCCACGCCGUAAACGAUGUCGACUUGGAGGUUGUGCCCUUGAGGCGUGGCUUCCGGAGCUAACGCGUUAAGUCGACCGCCUGGGGAGUACGGCCGCAAGGUUAAAACUCAAAUGAAUUGACGGGGGCCCGCACAAGCGGUGGAGCAUGUGGUUUAAUUCGAUGCAACGCGAAGAACCUUACCUACUCUUGACAUCCAGAGAACUUUCCAGAGAUGGAUUGGUGCCUUCGGGAACUCUGAGACAGGUGCUGCAUGGCUGUCGUCAGCUCGUGUUGUGAAAUGUUGGGUUAAGUCCCGCAACGAGCGCAACCCUUAUCCUUUGUUGCCAGCGGUCCGGCCGGGAACUCAAAGGAGACUGCCAGUGAUAAACUGGAGGAAGGUGGGGAUGACGUCAAGUCAUCAUGGCCCUUACGAGUAGGGCUACACACGUGCUACAAUGGCGCAUACAAAGAGAAGCGACCUCGCGAGAGCAAGCGGACCUCAUAAAGUGCGUCGUAGUCCGGAUUGGAGUCUGCAACUCGACUCCAUGAAGUCGGAAUCGCUAGUAAUCGUGGAUCAGAAUGCCACGGUGAAUACGUUCCCGGGCCUUGUACACACCGCCCGUCACACCAUGGGAGUGGGUUGCAAAAGAAGUGGGUAGCUUAACCUUCGGGAGGGCGCUUACCACUUUGUGAUUCAUGACUGGGGUGAAGUCGUAACAAGGUAACC